rnacentral:misc_RNA from 1 species
UUGCCGUGCAAAUUGCGACUCGGCUCCCGCCAUCUCCCACAGUUUUUUAAGGUUGAUUUGGCUUUACUUGGCUUCCAAUACACGAACUACUCUCACGGGACCAAGAAAACGCAAGCCGAUUCCCAUUUUUGUUCAGGAGUUAUGCUUCGUCUCUGUUUUAGACCCCGACGCUACCGUCGCCUUCUCGUCCUCCCUCGCUCCCUCUGCUCCUCCUCCUCUUCAUCUUCUUCUAAGAACCUCAGCGAACCCCCAAACAAUCUAAAAAAUCAGCACCAACCCCCUAUCCUCCACCACAACGCCCUUGUGUCAACCGCCAACACUUCCUCUUCUCCCUUUCGUUACUCUGUUCUCGGCUUCUCCGCUGCUGCCGUAACCGCUUUAAUAGCUUCUGUCGCUCUCAUCUCCUCUAAUGACCGCCGCUCCUCAGAAUCUAACCCUAGCCAUAAUACUAAUCCUCUCCACGCCGCCAUGGAACAGGCAAUUUCUAAAUCGAACGAGUCUUUCAGGAGAGUUUUUUAUCACGCUAGGCAAACGGGCGUUGCAGCAUCGGUUCUAUGGCAGUCGUUGAGGUCUGUGCUUUCCUCUGCCAACCACGAAGUCAGGGUGGGGUUCGAACUGCGAGUGGCAGCCUUGUUGGCCGAUAUUGCAGCUGCAAAUGGAGCCCGCAGAGCGGCGCUGGUUGGAGCGGGCAGCGGGAAGGUGGUGGAUUGGUUGCUGGAGACUGUGGCGGUCCGUGGAGAUGGGUGUGGCACCCAGGCUGAGGCGGCCAGGGCGCUUGCUUACUUGAUUGCGGAUCCAGAUGUGUCUGCAGAUGUGCUUGGAAGGCCUCACGCUGUGCCCUAUUUGUUACGCUUUAUAUUUUCCUGUCAGCCAAAGAAGAAGAAUGCAAGACGUAGUUCAUUCGAUAUUUGUGAUUCUUUGAAAGGUAGGAGCAUGCUUGUGGCUGCCAUCAUGGAUAUCGUCACGUCCAACUGCGACAGCAGUUUAGAAAAGGUUUCUUUCAAGCCAUCCUUGCCAGGAAAUGCUGAAACAAGGGAUGUUGCUGUAGCCAUUGAGGUCAUUGAGGAAGGCGGUUUGCAUAUGGAUGGGCCACAGGAAAAUGAAGAUGAUGACAAUGGUGGAAGGGGAAUGAAGGGUAUUGGAAUUAAAAUCCUUGAAGGUACAACAGUUUUAGGACUUACAAGAAAUAGUGGGUCAACAAAGUUGGAACAUUCUAGUUCCGGUAAUGUGGAAUCUUUUAGUCAGACUCCUAAAACCCUCAGCUUGUUACAGAAGAAAGAUGGUUUGCUAGCACAGAAUGUUUCUUCUGCUGUUGUUCCCGGACUUUGGGAUGAUCUUCAUUGUCAACAUGUUGCUGUGCCCUUUGCUGCAUGGGCAUUAGCUAAUUGGGCAAUGGCAUCUGAGGGCAAUAGAUCCCAUAUUCAGGAACUGGACCAAGACGGGCAAGCUGUCAUGACUGCCUUAAUGGCACCUGAGAGAUCUGUGAAAUGGCAUGGAAGCUUGGUAGCCCGGUUGCUGUUAGAGGACCGACAUCUGCCCAUAAGUGAUUCCAUUUCUGAUUGGAGUUGCAGUCUUCUCACAACUAUUUCUCAGGCAAGUAAAAAUGAUGAUAUUCCUUUGGCCCAGGUGGCUUUAUCUGCUUUUUUGCUUUCUGUUGAGAGGAGCCCAGAGGCACGGAAGAUAGUGAUGGAAAAGGGUCUUGAGCUGAUGAGAGAUACAACUAAGAAGACAACAAAAUACAAGCAAGUACAAGAAGCAUUAGCAAGGGCUAUGGAGUUACUUUCUACUGGGGAUACGCAUUUAUCUCUUGAAGAGAGCCAAAAGUGGUCUGGCAUUCUGCUUCCUUGGGUUUUUGGAAAAGUUUCCUCGGACGCUAUACGAUCUUCGGCCACAAAAAUCCUUUCAUACAUUCUUGAAGAUCAUGGACCAUCAUCUGUACCAAUUUCUCAAGGAUGGUUAGCCAUUCUCCUAAAUGAAGUUCUGGCUUCCGUCAAGGCUUCAUCUAAUAACGGUGGCAUUCAGCCUAAAAGUGAUAAAGUGAAGACCCAAAUUGAUCAAUCCAACAUUCUGUUUGCUACACAGACUGUUAACCAACUAGCAGGUGCUGUUGUAAAUCUAGCAGGGAAUCAAGUGAGAGCGUCCACUGAUUCUGUUGAUACAUUCCCACUGGCAGAUCUUCUUUCCCUGGAACCUUUUGCUGGACCCUUUCAAAAUUUUAAGAAGGAUGCUAAUGCUAUGUCUAAAUUUAAUGUGGCGGAUUCUGCUUUGGCGACCCUCAAGGGGAUCAAAGCACUGACUGAACUUUGUUCUGAGGAUUCUUUAUGUCAAAGGAAAAUUGCGGAACUUGGGGUCUUGUGUUUACUGAGGCGCUUUUUGUUAUGUGAUGAUUAUGAGAGACUGUCUGCAAUGGAAGCUUAUGAUGCAUCUAGAGCCCUUGAGGCGCAGGAGAGGAUUUCAAAUGUCACUGGUGAGACGCCUAAUGCGGCUACUAAUGGUCCUUCUAGUCUUCGAGUUCCACCUACAGCUCACAUUCGACGACAUGCAGCUAGACUGUUGACUGUCCUGUCAAACCUUCCUCAGGUCCAGAAGGCUGUUCUAGCAGAUAAAACUUGGUGUAAAUGGCUUGAGGAUUGUGCUAAUGGGAAGAUCCCAGGUUGCAAUGAUAGUAAAAUACAAAGUUAUGCUAGGGCAACGCUCUUAAAUGUAUUUUGUUGUCACGAAGCUGGUACAAACUUUGUAAAUAGUAAUCUCCCUGAGAGUGGAAGUGCAAACAGAAACAGCAGUUGUCCUCAGUAUAAUGACAUGAUAUUUUUGAUUAAUCCUGAAUUGCCCCACUGGAAGUUCUGUGAAAAUGUGGAAAGUAAGAAAAUUGAAAGUAAUAAAUUAAUGUUGGCUGAGGUUGAUUCAAUCGAUGGUGACAGUUCAUCCAUCACCAAAACUUCAAACAUUACUGAAUGUUCUACUUCCACCAAUGAUUCCCUUAAUGGAUCUGAAUCGGAGGCUCCUCUGCUAGAUGUUGUCUUUGUACAUGGUUUACGUGGUGGGCCUUAUAAGACUUGGCGCUUAGCUGAGGACAAAGCCUCAACUAAAUCUGGCUUGGUGGAGAAGAUUGAUGAGGAAGCUGGGAAGCUAGGGACAUUUUGGCCUGCUGAAUGGCUCUCAGCUGAUUUGCCCCAAAUACGUAUGUUUACCCUCAAAUACAAGACUAAUCUUACACAAUGGUCUGGGGCUACACUGCCUCUUCAGGAAGUCAGCUCCAAGCUGUUGGAGAAGGUUGUUGCUGCAGGCAUUGGGAAUCGACCUGUUGUGUUUGUGACUCACAGCAUGGGAGGCCUGGUUGUUAAGCAGAUGCUGCAUAAAGCCAAGGCAGAAAAAAUCAAUAAACUUGUGAACAACACUGUUGGAAUCGUGUUCUACAGCUGUCCACACUUUGGCAGUAAACUAGCUGACAUGCCUUGGCGAAUGGGCCUUGUGUUUCGCCCUGCUCCAACUAUAGGGGAGCUAAGAAGUGGGUCCCCUCGAUUAGUUGAGCUUAACGACUUCAUUCGCCACCUUCACAAGAAAAGAUUGGUUGAAGUCCUCAGUUUCUGUGAGACCAAGGUAACUCCAAUAGUUGAAGGGUAUGGGGGAUGGGCCUUCAGGAUGGAAAUUGUAUCAAUUGAAUCAGCAUACCCUGGAUUUGGCGAACUUGUUGUGCUAGAAUCAACAGAUCAUAUAAAUUCUUGCAAGCCAAUCAACCGCAAUGAUCCUUCCUAUAAAGAGACAUUACAGUUUUUGUGCAAGCUAAAAGCCCGUUAUUCAAAAGGGGAUACUUCACUGUGAUCUUAUAUGCCUGAAAAUGGGUGUUGAUGAUAAUCACGCAAAAGUUUGGGUAACGCUUUGAAUUUGCAUGGAGACUGAAACAAAUUUGGACUUUCUGGAUGGCAAUCCAUCUGCAACUUAGUAACCUGCAAUUUAAAUCGCUGACCUAAUGAGAUGAAGCUUCCAGACAACCUAUUCUUUUUCAAUCAUCAUACACUUACAAAAAAAGAAUUAUUUGUACAUUGGUUUUUUUCAUUUGUUGUCUUUAAAGUUGUACAUUGAUGUUGUAUAUCAUAUCUUUCUCAUGUUAGCUAGCGUCUGUAAAUAAGCCUACACGAUAGAGUAGGUUCAAGGGUGUUGUAUAUACUUGAGGAAGAAAAGGAAUUUUGUGACAGUUAACAGAAAUUGUUUAUUUUGGAUAGCAAUACUGCAGUUUGUUUUGAUCGUACUGGAAUAUGUUGAAAACAAAACAGAAAGGGUUUUUGGCUAUCCUCCCUUCCUGUCUCAUUUACAGGUAGCUGGGCGCCUGGGCCUAGGUUGGCUCAUCAAAAAAAUGUCGACUUGGUUUGCUUGGCGGCCCUGGACAAACUCUAAAAUGGGUUCAAUCCACUUGAAUUGGGUACGUUUUUGUUAGCUUCUAGGCCCUUAUAGUAACUGAACUGAGCGCAAGCUGGUGCAAACCCGUCUCCAUAACAUCAUCUUGCAGUUGCAGACUACCGCUAAGCAGAAACCCUUUCCAAUGGCUCUGUGUCCUGCACUAUCAAACUCAUUAUUCACGUCAUACCAAUUGAAGCUCAUGAUACCAACCGAAAAUAAGAGUUACCCCGCCAAGCUCACAAGAGGAAUCAUAUGUUGCUCCAAUUCCAAUUCUUCAUUUUCAACUACAACGACGACGAACUUGGGUCCUCCGGUUAUUAAAAAGAGAAAGAGAUACAGGAAACCGUACCCGGGAGAGAAAAAGGGUAUCACUGAAGAGAUGAGAUUCGUUGCCAUGAGGCUUCGUAAUCUCAAAGGCAAAUACACCUGUAAGUCUAUGAACAUUGAUGAUGACGAUGAUGAUUCCCAAAAUUCACAAGACGAGGAAAAAGAAAACUCAGGUGAGGGUGAUGGGGAGAGUUGGGUACCCAGUAUGGAAGGUUUCAUUAGGUACCUGGUUGACAGCAAGCUCGUUUUCGACACCGUCGAGCGUAUUGUUGAUAAAUCCGAUGAUGUUUCUUGUUAGUUUUUCUCUUUCCUUUUAUCUAGCUUCUCUUCUUGUCCCCAAUUUUCUGCCAUUCAAAUUUGCCGUUCUUGGUCGCUAUAGUUUUCUGUGAAUUGUUUUUAGUUUUUGAGGGGUUUUGGUUUAAUCUAUUAUAUGAUUCUGUUGAUCCUUGCUUUGUUAUAAUUCUCAAUUAUGGUGUAAAAGCAUAAUAGAAAUUAUCAUUUUUUUUUCUUGGAUAAUGGCAAUGAACUUAUGUGUAGUUGCCUAGGAUGGCAAUGCAUAUAUUAGCGCCAAGGAAUGAUUAUGUGUCUAUGGUGGAAAGCUGCUUGCUGAAUCCUGUUAUAAUUUAAUGUUCUUUUUUUAAAAAAAUUUUUUAUUACAGAUGCUUAUUUUAGAAGAACUGGAUUGGAACGAUCAGGGGUUCUUGCAAAAGACCUUGAGUGGUUUAGCCAACAGGAUAUUGCUAUUCCUAAACCUAGUACUCCUGGAGUUUCAUAUGCCAAAUAUUUGGAGGAUCUUGCAGAGAAGAGUGCCCCUUUGUUUCUCUGCCAUUUCUAUAAUAUAUAUUUCUCACACAUAGCAAGUGGUCAAGUGAUAGCAAGACAGGUCUCUGAGAAGCUUCUAGAAGGGAGAGUGUUGGAAUUCUACAGAUGGGGGGGAGAUGUUCAAGAAUUGUUGAAGAGGACACGUGAUAAGCUCAAUAUGCUUGGAAAGCAUUGGUCUCGAGAUGUGAAAAACAAAUGUUUAAAAGAAGCAACAAAGUCCUUCAGGUAUUUGGGGCAGAUAGUCCGAUUAAUCAUCUCAUAAAGCAAAGUUGUUUUCACACUCAAUGGUUUUGGGAACUUUGUCCUGGGUAAGGCAGCAGUUUCUAUUUUCCACGUCUACUUUUUUCAACCUUGAUAAUUAACCUUGUGAUAUGAAUGCAUACAGAUCCAUAUGCUUGGCUUAUUAUGAGAAAUUCUCUCUGCUCUCUUUCCCUCUCUUUCUUGUCUACUUAAAUAUACUUUCAUGAUUAAAUAGUCAUCAAAUAGCUUGCAUGGGUUUAAAAAAUUUGAUGCCAAUGAUAUGAACUUCAAAUAGUUUUCCUGCACUUAUGUGGCCACUGGUGGUAUUCAUGGUACUUCAUAGAUCCCUGGCAAAAGAACUGUUGUGUUGCUUAAUUUUAACCUAUUCCCUUGCCUCUGCUUUUUUGUUACCGAAAUUUUUAAUAAAUUAUUAGUUUCUCUUAUGUUUCCUAGGUUGCACUAAUUCUGUUUUGGCAAACUUAAUACUUGUCUCUUUUGCAAACAAGCAGGAUUACAGAUCAUGGAGUGAAAGAAGCACUUUUGUUUCUUGACAUGGAACAGUCUUGCUCACGGUGACUCUGGUUUAAUCCUGUAUGGACCAACUUGACAUGGGAAACAACAUUUGUUUCUGAGGCAUGUAUAGUGGCGGAUCCACCCCUUGUUACCCCAAGGGGUGUGAGGGACUGAGGAUUAGCUUCAGAAUGAGAAAUGUUUAACAGAUCAAUUGUUCAACUGU